UACGGGGGGGGGCAAGCGUUGUCCGGAAUUAUUGGGCGUAAAGAGCUCGUAGGCGGUGUGUCGCGUCGGCCGUGAAAACCUGCAGCUUAACUGUGGGCUUGCGGUCGAUACGGGCAUCACUGGAGUUCGGCAGGGGAGACUGGAAUUCCUGGUGUAGCGGUGAAAUGCGUAGAUAUCAGAGGAACACCGGUGGCGAAGGCGGGCCUCUGGGACCAGUGACUGACGC
rnacentral:rRNA from 1 species